rnacentral:rRNA from 1 species
AUGAACGCUGGCGGCGUGCCUAAUACAUGCAAGUCGAGCGAACAGAUGAGGAGCUUGCUCCUCUGACGUUAGCGGCGGACGGGUGAGUAACACGUGGAUAACCUACCUAUAAGACUGGGAUAACUUCGGGAAACCGGAGCUAAUACCGGAUAAUAUAUUGAACCGCAUGGUUCAAUAGUGAAAGACGGUUUUGCUGUCACUUAUAGAUGGAUCCGCGCCGCAUUAGCUAGUUGGUAAGGUAACGGCUUACCAAGGCAACGAUGCGUAGCCGACCUGAGAGGGUGAUCGGCCACACUGGAACUGAGACACGGUCCAGACUCCUACGGAAGGCAGCAGUAGGGAAUCUUCCGCAAUGGGCGAAAGCCUGACGGAGCAACGCCGCGUGAGUGAUGAAGGUCUUCGGAUCGUAAAACUCUGUUAUUAGGGAAGAACAAAUGUGUAAGUAACUAUGCACGUCUUGACGGUACCCAAUCAGAAAGCCACGGCUAACUACGUG